GUGAGAUGACUUGAUGGUGCAGCGGCAGGGUGGUCUCUGGAGGGGCCGAGUCCUUGUAAAGACGAGGACCUCCCCAUCUGUGCGUCGCCCUCUCUGGGUCUGAUGGGGGCCCGGCUCUUACUGCUUGAUGACCCACGCAGCUGGAGCUCCGACUCCCACCAACUCUCUGUGUCGACAUUUACUUCCAUGGAAAGUCAAGAGAGUCUUGCCUCGGAUUCACUCUGGUGCUAACACGUGACUGAGAUCGUCUCGCGGGCCGCCAUCUUGGUGCCAGGUAGGAGGUGGUUUUAAGGGGAGGGUGUCUUGAGUAAGGACCAGAAAGAAGAAGUGACCAACCCUGUUCGUACUCCCAGGUCGUCAAGAUGCUUGUUCCAGCUACCCAAGAACUACAUACCUUCAAGGGCUUUGCAUUCGCUCUGCCAUGAACGCUUAAGUGACGUAGCCGAACAUACAACAACAAGUUGGAGGACUACGUGGUCAGAGCUGUGUGUUUGUUGUCAUGCGUUUCAUGAUAUGAUAACACAGUGACAAAAACUCUUACGACAGUUGGCAGUACUUCAUAUUAUUGAGGAUGAGAGAAGAACACAGCACUGCAACGGAGGACAAUGCAACUUAAUAUGUGUUCAAAUUUUUGUAAACAUGGCUGAGACAAACCAGCCCCUCAACAUACACUUACAACAUUUAAAGUUCCUACUCUAGGAGCUUAAAAAUCCCUCAAAACAGCGUUACUAUGAUCAUUCCCAGUUCUUGCAGAGUGGACCCAACAAAAUGGGGGAGAUUCUUGGGAGAGGGAGACUGUUUUACAUUUUACAACGUUAACCAUGUGAAUAAUUAUAACCGGAUGUUGCAUAUUGCUAACUUCACCGUGGAGCCCUGCACGUGCAAAAGAAACGCUAAAGCGGUACCCAGUGCAUUAAAAAGCUAUGCUAAAGAGUGACCAGGUGUAUCACGAUUUGGAAGUGACAGUGUGUUGACGAGACACAGCAAACACUUCAAGGUACUCUCUCAGCAACAACUUUCAGUUUCCCUAAAACAGAGUGUGCAACCAGUCCUCCGCUGUCAGAGUCCAGCGUUCAAUACUGCACCGCAUUUCUGGACUUGAUGAAAUUCACAGCCCUCAGAUAUUCACUCUUCCUCUCUCCUCCUCUCAGACUCAUAUGCUUUCUUUCCAAUGUGACACCCUGAGGAGCCCAGCAGGGUUUCUGACACACACACACACACACACACACACACACACACACACACACACACACACACACACACACACACACACACAGAUUUGACCAGUAUGUACUAAUGGUAACCAGACCUCAGUCUCUCUUUUCCUCACUCCUCUCUUAAUUCUGUUCAUCCUCCAAUGUUUCUUUCUAAAUUCAACCAUCUAUCUCCCUUCACAUUCAUCUCUCUCUACAUUCCCAGCUUGUAAAGAGGUCUUCCGCUGAUGCUCAAUCCUGUCGAUAUGCUGUUUCACACUUCACCUGCAUGUCAGUGUUCUUUCUUGGUUCUGGCCUGAUAAAUAAGAGGAUUUUAUCUGGAGAGUGAGGGCCAGUUUUAAAGAUAUGAAUAGCUUAUAAAGUAUGAUGUGAAAUUAAACUACCCAACAGUUUACAUCUGAAAUGAU